rnacentral:lncRNA from 1 species
GUUUCCUUCUGUUGAGAGUUCACACUUCGCGUCGGAACUUUUGCGCACCAAUGGCGCAAUUAGCAUGCACAAAAGCCCUUGUUCGCGACGCUUGCGUUCGCGAGCUAGCUUUAGGAAAACUUGUGCUGACUUUUCGUUCUUUGUAUUCCCUUCAAACUCAUUUGGACCCAAGUUCGCCUUAACCCUCCCCUCCCCCAACCCCCCUUCUUUAGGCGGUGUGUGGCAUUUGUUUGCCACUUUUAAAGGCCCAGCUCUGUUUGCUCUGAUGUUCUUUUAGCCGAGGCUGUGUUGGGGCUGGUGAACUGACUGGGCUUUAGUGACCGAUGAGGUGUUAAAUGCUAAUCCAACAUAUUUCGAAACAAACCAGGAUUUUGUUGAAACAUUUUAAAGCAAACAAACAAACGUCUGGUUGUGCAGAAAAUCAGAAGAAAACCUUUUUUCUUAAAAUAACAUUUUAUUUUCAUUAAAACAAUGUAGAGUGCAGAAACAAACUCUUAGGUCAGUCCAGUGCUUUUACUGUAUUCCGCUCCGGCGGCGUGGGGAGUUACAAGCCAUUGUUCGGGGGAAUCUAUAUCUCUCCCCCCGCCCCACCACCACCAUCGCCUGCUGGGAGGUCGCGCUGGUUAAUGAUUUCUGGGCAAGGAGCUCGGCUUCUGACGGGGGAGCCGGUCUGGCGGGGCUGCCUGAGCGAGGUGUGCUGGGACGCGCCGGGCCGGGCCAGCAGUCCCCGCCAUGGGCGAGGCGUGAGGAAGUCCUCCCGCAAGACCUGCAGGCUGCGGGGGCUCGGCAGGGGGGCUCGACGAUUGGUUACAGUUGGCAGGGAGGCAUGUCAGAGGGGGCCUCCCCAGCCCUCUCCUGCCGCCGCCUCCUCCCUUUGUCCAGCGCCGGGCACUCCGGGGAGCACCAGCCGCGCCUGCGCGCUGCGCUCCCUGCCACCGCCCCGCCGUCCCCGUCUCCCCGCUUGGGCACGGGGCUGUGCGCGACGCAGUGGACGGGUGCGGGGCUCAGCGAGGGACUCCCGGGUCCAUAGAGAUCUGGGGAGGGUGGGGGGAGCAAGGACGAGUGCCUGCCGGGACCCCCCUGGCUCCUCGCUCCCAAGGAGUCGAGGGGAACGUCUCUACCGCGCUGCAAAGCCAGCAGGUAACUUUGGGGAGGUGCGGGCCAGGCCAGCGAGCAGCACUCGGCCCAGGCGCCGCGGGGCGGACGGAUUGGAAGCCGGAUGGAGGCGUGGCCGGGUGGGGGCCGCGGCGGCGGGGAGGCGCGUUCCCGGCGCGCAGAGCUCUAUUGUUAUAUAAAAGUGCCGAAGCCUGCCCCUCCCGAGCGGAAAACCACCUGUGUGCGGCCGGCGCGGCGCGAGAGGGAUGCAGCCGGAAGGCGCGGGCCCUAAUCCGGCCUUCCCUCCCUAAACCCCGGCGGAAAAGAGGCCGCGCUUUGUCCCACCGCUGCCUGAGAGGCGGAAGCGGGGGCAGCCGUCCGGCGGGGUGCGGCUUUGGGGAGUGUCCCUUGCUGCGCUUUGCGCCUACCGUGAACACCGCGAGGGCGCCUAAGGUCGCGGGGUCUCCCUUCGCCCGACGCCCCGCACCCACGGGCAUGCCUGCUAACACCCCCGCUGCAAUUUGCAUUUUUAGUCACCCGCCUCUUCCCUGGUUUGGGAAAUGUAGGCUAAAAAAAGGCGGCUGCGAGGCCUAGGUUGCCAAUUUUGGAGCUCUGCUUCAGGCAGGCCGCCCCUGGAGGAGCGUGUUCGACAAAGGUGGGGAUUGCCGAGCUCCUCUCCGCACCAUUUUUGGGCAGUCCUUGGAACAAAACUCGUAUAUUUCACUGGGUAUCUUCUAGUUUCAGCCGGGGGAGGCCUGCGCUGGAGUUGACUCCCCCUGUCCUCCACGAUCUGUCACAGAAGUUCCCACCCCGAGACGUUUCAGUCAUUGGGACCUGGGGACAGGGAGGGAAGAGGCAGGAUGCCCUUCAGCGGAACUGAGAAGAGCAAACCUGUUGGAGGUUCAGCACAGGACCUCCAACAGAAGAGAAAGGGAGGGAAGUUGGGUUUCUACUUUGCCUGUUUUAAUACGCAGCUACUUGAGUAUGACUAUAGAUUCGGGAGGAUACAUCGAAACUGUAGUUUUACCCAUGCUUCUGAACUUUAUCGCCAAGGGAAUGCCAGUGUUUCCUGGCGCAUUGAUUAAAGUGGCGUUCUGACUGCUCAGUACUAGAAAUGCUGCGAAAAGGGCUUCUGGAGUGGGACGGCCCUCGUUUGCAUUAUGUCCCCCGCUUCUUCCUAGGUAAGCGCCCUUAGUUAAAUCAUUUAGCCGUUCUAAGUUGCAGUCUUCCACGUCGGCAUAACGAAGAUAAAACUAUCUGCUUCAUAGGGUCCCUGUGACGACAAAAUGGGUACGGUGAAACGUCCUAAAGUGGUGGUGGGGUGCUAUUAGCCGUUGGAAUUAAUUUUUCAUUCUGAAUUGAGGACCUGUAAAAAGGCCUCGGCUUGGGGACACGGUUUGGGCAUCCCACAGAUGCCCCUUGAGGCUCGCUUGACAGCCCGCCUGGACUCGCUCAUCUGCAGCAAAGCCCUCUGAGAUACUACCCUAACCGAUUUAAUCCGUUCCAAUUCAGCUGUCAAGUAAAGGGGGUGUUAUCGUAGACCAGGAUCAAAAAUCCUUUAGCACAGUUAUCAGAAUGGACCCAGCUACAUUUCUGAUUUCUCCCUACUGGUCACCUUUGGAACACGCUGUUCUCCAGCCACAGCAAACUGAUACAACAAUGCAUAUUGGGCACUUAACUGCAUGAUGGGUACCGUCUUGUUUCUGUGUUUACUUGCAUAAUUUCGGACAGUCUUCAGAAAAAACAUGUAAAUUAUCCCAUUUACAAAGAUUAAAGAAUUUGCCCAAGGGCACACAGUAGCAACAGAGUGUCAAGACGUGAGGCCAAACCCUUUACAGACUCUUAAGGAUGCCCACAUGCACGGAUUACAUAGAGUGUUAUGGACACUAUAUUCACCUCCACGUGGUAUUCCCUGCCCACAUGUGAAGAAUUUCAAGGCAUUUGCUAGGCCCUUAGGAGGUCAGGCAACUUGCACUGUGGCACAUGAAGAAUAUUCACAUACUUCAUAUCCUGCAGGAGAAAGGAGACAGCACAAGAAAUUCUGUUGUCACUAAUUGAAAGUAGUUUAUCACUUUAUCUUUAGAAGGUCUAAUGCCAAAACUUCAAGGAGAUAAUAAAUAGUCCAGUCUGGGUUUGAGCCUGGAGUUUGGAUGUCUAAGAUGACUCCGAGCGGAUGUGGAUUUACGUGUUAGUACCUGAAAGUGGGCACAGCCCCCACCUUGGAAUGAAUGUACACUUCCAAAGGACUCGUUCCCACAGGGUGGUGGAAGGAACAACAGAGACAGCUAUGUGCCCACAUGCUCAGCCAUCUGCCAUUCCAACCACAUGUCUCUCCCCCCGUUUCCUGCAAAUGAUUCAUCUAUUCUUUUUCUCCUUCUUCAAAGAUAACUCUGUAAGCACUUAAGGAGGGGAAAGUCAUUAAGAAAAGUGGAAUCUGGAGUUAUUAGGAUGAGAUAGAGCAGAUUAAACAGUCUGGAAUUUCACAAAGCAAACAGCACAGGGUGCGGACCCUGGGCCCGUCUCUCUCCUGCUGGUGCAUCAUUUCACAGGUUAUCAUCCUUCAUGAACAGGUCAACAAAAAUGGCCACAGGUAAACAUGAGCAUAUGAGUUGCUAAAGAGAAAGAAAGACAGAGAACAGCAGAAGUCAGGAGGAUUCUGGAUUUUCCAACUGGAGCCUCUGUGCAUCUUAUCCAGCAUCACAGACAGUGUCUGUCGCUAAGUGAUGCCAAAGGUUUUACACCAAUGAAUGGGAUCUUUGUGACGUUUUCCCAAUAACAGACCAAAAAGCUGCCACUAAAAUCAUGCUUUUAAAGGAGAUCCUGAACAAUAGCCAGUGAAGGUGAUUAUGGCCAUGUCCCCAUGUCCAUGAGGAGGUGCUUGGUGGGUAUUUGUUGAAUUGCAUCAAACUGGAGUUGGAUGGGACUCAGUUCAAAUCCUGACUCUGCUUCCAGCUUCUGGUACAUUAGGCAAGUUGCUAAACCUCUGGGCUUAGGGGAUAAAGACACUACCUCACAGGGUGGAGUGAGGAGUAGAAGAUAAUAUACGUGAAGUACUUCAUGUGGUCUUUGGAAAGAGGUAGAUAGAUAGGCAAAUAUCAGGUGAUUACAAAUACUCCUUAUAAUUUCACUUCAGUUUGUACCGCAUCUCACACCCUGAAGCUAGCAGGGUAAAGAGCUCUCAGGAGAAUGAAGAGGCCUCUGGCCCAUUCUAGUAUGGUCUCUCCCAUCAGGAGGGGAAAGGCAAAUAUUGCAUGGGACCUGGCAAUAAGAUUGAAUGAGACAUAAGCAAAGUCUGAUCGCAUCCUUAUCCCCACCCCUUAACAGCCACUAUAUCCCUUGAGGCAAGUGAAGGGCCCCAGAAGUGAGGGAUCUUAUUGCUAAGUAGAUCAGACAGAGUUCUUAAAGAUUCUAAUAUGUUGCCUGUAUUGUCUCAUCUGUAAAAUGGGUGUUAAAAUAGCACUCAUAUCUUGGGUUAUGAAGAUGAAAGAAGAUAAUCUAUGUAAAGGACUGAGCACAGGGCCUGGGACAGUUAGUGAUAGAUACAUGUUAGCUACUGUUGCUAUUUUGUAUUCCAUGUUCAAUCUAUGAUAUUGAUUAACCUGUUUAUUGAUUGCUGGAUUUUCAUUUAGUAAAUUAAUUUUCAAUAAAUGAUUUUCACUUAAGCAUUUGUUCACGCAGUCACUUCAUUCAUUUAUUUAUCAUAAAACAUUUAUCAAGGUCCUAUUCUAUACUGACACUAUGCUGGGCUCAAGAGAUGCUGAGGCUUUUUGGGCAAGAAGGUUGAAGACUAGGCAGGGAGAGAGACCUGAACUAAAGCAGGAGAAGGCAAGGUGUAGUAUACACAUCAUGGAGACAUGUAUAAAGCAUUCCUGGAACCCAGAGGAACCAGGAAGUGCUGCUCAUAAAAGAUGCUUUUUGAACUAGAUCUUGAAGAGUGAGUAGCCCGAGGAGUUUGGGCUUGCGAAUUCUAGAUAACAAGAACAGCUUGCCAAAAGGGAUAAAGUUGUGAAACAAACAAACAAACAAAAAACAGGGUUUGGAGCCAGGAGGACUUUGGUGUGAGUGGUGUUUGGCCAUUCUGCCUGGUGCCUUCCUUUGAAUUUAGGUUCGACCCCCUGUGGGGGCCACAGAGAGUCACCUGCAGCUCAGUCUUACCCCAGGUGCUGGGCCCAAGUCUGCUCUUAGAGGAAAUGUAAGUAGCUUAUAUCACUCAGUAUCGGGUCAGCUAGGCUCUGGGUUCUGUUCUGAGCUCCUGCUCUAUUUCUAGCUGUGAAGUUUCCACUUGAUUCCUGUCACAGGCUCUACCUUGUAUUCCAGUUCAAAUAACUGGGCUUUGGCCUUUGUUCUUUCUUCUACAUUCUGCCUCUAAGUUUCUCUAAGACUGGAAUUUUGCCUUUCCUUAUCAGUCCUUCCUAGAACUUCAGUCCCUCCCAGAACUUCAGUCCCCUCCUUGGCCCUGGGGCCUCACUCCAGGCUGCUUGAUCCACUUAUGGUUAUUGCUUGCUGGGUUCACCUUCUUCUCCUUUCUGCAGGUGGAACACAGACUGAUGACAACCACGUGCUGAGAUCCCCUGUUACUGCCUAGACACAAAUUGCUAUCUAGGUCCUGUUUCACUGCCUGGCAGAACUGCCUUGCUACUUCUGGUUUGGCUCGCCAUUGCCUGAAUUCCUAAACUCCAUUCUGAAUAUUACUAGUGAAAAAUGCACGGCAGGGCGCAGUGGCUCAUGCCUGUAACCCCAGCCCUUUGGGAGGCUGAGGCAGGUGACUCACCUGAGGUCAGGAGUUCGAGACCAGCCUGGCGAACAUGGUGAAACCUCGUCUUUACUAAAAAUACAAAAAUUAGCCAGGCAUGGUAGUGGGCACCUGUAAUUCCAGCUACUCAGGAGGCUGAGGCAUGAGAAUUGCUUGAACCCGGGAGGCAGAAGUUGUAGUGAGCCGAGAUCACACCACUGCACUCUAGCAUGGGCUAUAUAGAGCGAGACUCAGUCUCAAAAAAAAAAAAAAAAAAAGAAAAAUGUGCUACUUUGGUAUUGAAAUUAGCAUCCAACAUCAGCUUUUGGAGAUACAGGUUAUGCCAUAUACUUUGGUAAAUUUCCCCCAAGCAUUUAGACUUACAGAAGAUAUGCAGUAAAAGCUGUUGGAGUAUAUGCUACAAAUGAGCCUUGGUGGUAUGGUCCCAGGCCUUCCUGUGCUGAUUAGCAUUUUAUGGCAUGUAUAAUUUUCCUUAACAUUGCUCAGGGGAUUAGGACACUAGUCAUAUGCUGCCAGCCACAAGUUUUAAAAAACCAACUUAGGAAUAAAAUCACAACAGGAA